GUGGGGAAUAUUGGACAAUGGGCGAAAGCCUGAUCCAGCCAUGCCGCGUGAGUGAUGAAGGCCUUAGGGUUGUAAAGCUCUUUUGUCCGGGAAGAUAAUGACUGUACCGGAAGAAUAAGCCCCGGCUAACUUCGUGCCAGCAGCCGCGGUAAUACGAAGGGGGCUAGCGUUGCUCGGAAUCACUGGGCGUAAAGGGCGCGUAGGCGGACUUUUAAGUCGGAGGUGAAAGCCCAGGGCUCAACCCUGGAAUUGCCUUCGAUACUGGGAGUCUUGAGUGCGGAAGAGGUUGGUGGAACUGCGAGUGUAGAGGUGAAAUUCGUAGAUAUUCGCAAGAACACCGGUGGCGAAGGCGGCCAACUGGUCCGAAACUGACGCUGAGGCGCGAAAGCGUGGGGAGCAAACAGGAUUAGAAACCCUAGUAGUCC
rnacentral:rRNA from 1 species